GUUAUCGUCUAUUUGAUAGUACCUUACUACUUGGAUAACCGUGGUAAUUCUNGAGCUANUACAUGCCAAAAACCUCGACUUCGGAAGGGGUGUAUUUAUUAGAUAAAAAGCCAACGCCCUUCGGGGCUCCUUGGUGAUUCAUGAUAACUCAACGAACCGCAUGGCCUUGCGCCGGCGGUGGUUCAUUCGAAUUUCUGCCCUAUCAACUUUCGAUGGUAGGAUAGUGGCCUACCAUGGUUUCAACGGGUAACGGGGAAUUAGGGUUCGAUUCCGGAGAGGGAGCCUGAGAAACGGCUACCACAUCCAAGGAAGGCAGCAGGCGCGCAAAUUACCCAAUCCCGACGCGGGGAGGUAGUNACAAUAAAUACUGAUACAGGGCUCUUUUGGGUCUUGUAAUUGGAAUGAGUACAAUCUAAACACCUUAACGAGGAACAAUUGGAGGGCAAGUCUGGUGCCAGCAGCCGCGGUAAUUCCAGCUCCAAUAGCGUAUAUUAAAGUUGUUGCAGUUAAAAAGCUCGUAGUUGAACCUUGGCCCUGGCUAGCCGGUCCGCCUCACCGCGUGCACUGGUCCGGCCGGGGCUUUCCUCCUGGGGAUCCGCAUGGCCUUCACUGGUCGUGUCCGGGGAACCAGGACUUUUACUUUGAAAAAAUUAGAGUGUUCAAAGCAGGCAUUUGCUCGAAUACAUUAGCAUGGAAUAAUGGAAUAGG
rnacentral:rRNA from 1 species